GUGCGGGAGGGAGCGAAGCAACGCAGGCAGCGAGCGAGAUGCAGCACCGAGGCUUCCUCCUUCUCACCCUCCUCGCCCUGCUGGCGCUCACUUCUGCAGUGGCCAAACAGAAAGACAAGGUGAAGAAGGGCGGCCCGUGGAGUGAGUGUGCGGAGUGGGCCUGGGGGCCCUGCACCCCCAGCAGCAAGGAUUGCGGCGUGGGUUUCCGCGAGGGCACCUGCGGGGCCCAGACCCAGCGCAUCCGGUGCAGGGUGCCCUGCAAUUGGAAGAAGGAGUUUGGAGUCGACUGCAAGUACAAGUUUGAGAACUGGGGUGCGUGUGACGGGGGCACAGGCACCAAAGUCCGCCAAGGCACCGUGAAGAAGGCGCGCUACAAUGCCCAGUGCCAGGAGACUAUCUGCAUCACCAAGCCCUGCACCCCCAAGACCAAAGCCAAGGCCAAAGCCAAGAAAGGGAAGGGAAAGGACUAGAGGCCAAGCCUGGAUGCCAAGGAGCCCCUGGUGUUACAUGGGGCCUGGCCCACGCCCUCCCUCUUCCAGGCCCGAGAUAUGACCCACCAGUGCCUUCUGUCGCUCGUUAGCUUUAAUCAAUCAUUCCUUGCCUUGUCCCUCUCACUUCCCAGCCCCACCGCUAAGUGCCCAAAGUGGGGAGGGACAAGGGAUUCUGGGAAGCUUUAGCU